rnacentral:rRNA from 1 species
GACGAACGCUGGCGGCGUGCUUAACCCUGCACGUCGAACGGGAAGGCCCCGACUUUGUGGGGUGCCUGAGUUGCCAACCGGUUGGUUACACGGUAGGAAACUGGCCAUUACCUUGGGAAAAACUCCGGGAAAUGGGGCUUAUUCCCGCUUAGGGCCUCCGGUGCCUUGUUGGGGGUUGAAAGGUUUGGUGGUUGGGGAUGGACUCGGGGGUUAUCCGGUUGGUGGUGGGGUAGUGGCUUACCAAGGGAUUGACGGGUAGCCCGCCUGAGAGGGUGACCGGGCACAUUGGGACUGAGAUACGGCCCAGACUCCUACCGGAGGCAGCAGUGGGGAAUAGUGCACAAUGGGCGGAAGCCUGAUGCAGCAACGCCGCGUGCGGGAUGACGGCCUUCGGGUUGUAAACCGCUUUCGCCUGUGACGAAGCGUGAGUGACGGUAAUGGGUAAAGAAGCACCGGCUAACUACGUG